AUUGAACGCUGGCGGCAGGCCUAACACAUGCAAGUCGAAUGAGUGGCGGACUGGUGAGUAAUGUCUGGGAAACUGCCUGAUGGAGGGGGAUAACUACUGGAAACGGUAGCUACUCCCGCAUACCAUCAGAUGUGCCCAGAUGGGAUGAGCUGGUUGGUGGGGUAACGGCUCACCAAGGCGACGAUCCCUAGCUGGUCUGAGAGGAUGACCAGCAACAGUGGAAAUGAGACAGGGUCCAGACGCCCACGGGAGGGAGAAGGGGGGAAUAUGGAAAAAUGGGCUAAAGCCGGAUGCAGCCAUGCCGCGUGUAUGAAGAAGGCAGUCGGGUUGGAAAGUACUUUCAGCGGGGAGGCGUUACCUGCAGAAGAAGCACCGGAUAACUACGUGCCAGCAGCCGCGGUAAUA
rnacentral:rRNA from 1 species